rnacentral:misc_RNA from 1 species
AACGCAUAUGGCACCUCCCGGCCCUGCCGGAGGGUAUGCCUGUUUGAGAAUCAUAUCCAAAUAUGUUCAUCAUCCAUUGAUGGACGACCUGGGCAUUCAGCAGUGAUCGCCGUGAAUAAUAGUGUAUUGUCAGGACAUCCUCGUUUGAGAAUUAAUGGCAAUUACAACCCCUCCUCAUGAUCUCAAAUCAGGCAAGGCUACCCGCUGAACUUAA